rnacentral:rRNA from 1 species
GACGAACGCUGGCGGCGUGCUUAACACAUGCAAGUCGAACGGAAAGGCCCUGCUUUUGUGGGGUGCUCGAGUGGCGAACGGGGGAGUAACACGUGAGUAACCUGCACUUGUCUUUGGGAUAACUUCAGGAAACUGGGGCGAAUACCGGAGAGGAGAUCUUGCUGCACGGUGGGGGUUGGAAAGUUUCGGCGGUUGGGGAUGGACUCGCGGCUUAUCAGCUUGUUGGUGGGGUAGGGGCUUACCAAGGCUUUGACGGGUAGCCGGCCUGAGAGGGUGACCGGCCACAUUGGGACUGAGAUACGGCCCAGACUCCUACGGGAGGCAGCAGUGGGGAAUAUUGCACAAUGGGCGGAAGCCUGAUGCAGCAACGCCGCGUGCGGGAUGACGGCCUUCGGGUUGUAAACCGCUUUCGCCUGUGACGAAGCGUGAGUGACGGUAAUGGGUAAAGAAGCACCGGCUAACUACGUG